rnacentral:rRNA from 1 species
AGAGUUUGAUCCUGGCUCAGGAUGAACGCUAGCUACAGGCUUAACACAUGCAAGUCGAGGGGCAGCAUGUUGGCUGCUUGCAACCAAUGAUGGCGACCGGCGCACGGGUGAGUAACGCGUAUCCAACCUACCCUUGUCCAUCGGAUAACCCGUCGAAAGGCGGCCUAACACGAUAUGCGGUUCUCAGCAGGCAUCUAACGAGAACGAAAUGUGAAGGAGAAGGAUGGGGAUGCGUCUGAUUAGCUUGGUUGGCGGGGUAACGGCCACAAGGCGACGAUCGAGUAGGGGUUCUGGAGAGGAAGGUCCCCCANAUUGGAACUGAGACACGGUCCAAACUCCUACGGGAGCA